GUACACUCCUACGGGAGGCAGCAGUGGGGAAUUUUGGACAAUGGGCGAAAGCCUGAUCCAGCCAUGCCGCGUGCAGGAUGAAGGCCUUCGGGUUGUAAACUGCUUUUGUACGGAACGAAACGGCCUUUUCUAAUAAAGAGGGCUAAUGACGGUACCGUAAGAAUAAGCACCGGCUAACUACGUGCCAGCAGCCGCGGUAAUACGUAGGGUGCAAGCGUUAAUCGGAAUUACUGGGCGUAAAGCGUGCGCAGGCGGUUAUGUAAGACAGUUGUGCAAUCCCCGGGCUCCACCUGGGAACUGCAUCUGUGGCUGCAUAGCUAGAGUACGGUAGAGGGGGAUGGAAUUCCGCGUGUAGCAGUGAAAUGCGUAGAUAUGCGGAGGAACACCGAUGGCGAAGGCAAUCCCCUGGACCUGUACUGACGCUCAUGCACGAAAGCGUGGGGAGCAAACAGGAUUAGAAACCCGGGUAGUCCC
rnacentral:rRNA from 1 species